AUACGGAGGGUCCAAGCGUUAUCCGGAAUCAUUGGGUUUAAAGGGUCCGUAGGCGGGCAAUUAAGUCAGAGGUGAAAUCCCACAGCUCAACUGUGGAACUGCCUUUGAUACUGGUUGUCUUGAAUUAUAGUGAAGUAGAUAGAAUAUGUAGUGUAGCGGUGAAAUGCUUAGAUAUUACAUAGAAUACCGAUUGCGAAGGCAGUCUACUAACUGUAUAUUGACGCUGAUGGACGAAAGCGUGGGGAGCGAACAGGAGUAGAAACCCCUGUAGUCC
rnacentral:rRNA from 1 species